rnacentral:rRNA from 1 species
ACGGGAGGCAGCAGUGGGGGAUAUUGCACAAUGGGGGAAACCCUGAUGCAGCAACGCCGCGUGAAGGAAGAAGGUCUUCGGAUUGUAAACUUCUGUUCUUGGUGACGAAACAAAUGACGGUAGCCAAGGAGAAAGCCACGGCUAACUACGUGCCAGCAGCCGCGGUAAUACGUAGGUGGCGAGCGUUGUCCGGAAUUACUGGGUGUAAAGGGUGCGCAGGCGGGACUGCAAGUUGGAUGUGAAAUCCCGGAGCUUAACUCCGGAACUGCAUCCAAAACUGUGGUUCUUGAGUGAAGUAGAGGUUGGCGGAAUUCCGAGUGUAGCGGUGAAAUGCGUAGAUAUUCGGAGGAACACCAGUGGCGAAGGCGGCCAACUGGGCUUUAACUGACGCUGAGGCACGAAAGUAUGGGGAGCAAACAGGAUUAGAUACCCUGGUA